GCCCUCGUGGGUCAUGGUUGAUCAUCUUUGUUUCAUAAUUUGCUUAGGUGCUGCUGCUCCAUGAAGAUGUUGUAGGUUCGAAUCCUACCGAGGGCA